ensembl:lncRNA CRNDE colorectal neoplasia differentially expressed
GGGGUCUCGAUCGCGCUAUUGUCAUGGAGACGGGAAGCUGGCUGCAGCGGCGGCGGGGACCGUGGGGCCGAGGUGGCUGCCAGCCGGCCAAUGUCUAAGCGAGGCGGAGCGGCCCAGGCGGCCCGAGCCUGGGGGAGCGCGCAGCCGGCCAGUGGCGGCCUCGCCGGCGGCCUCUUCCCGGGCUCGCAGUAGGCCCGAGUCGUCGCCGGGAGCUCCUGGGAGCAGCGUCCCCGCCCUGCUCCCCUCGCUCCCGCCUCUUGCGGCCCCACGGCCCCUCAGCGCCCGCCCCCGGCUCCGCCCGCCGCAGCCGCAGCCCCUGGCGCUAACGGUCGGUAACGGCCCGCGCGCGCCGCCCGCCGGGGGCUCGCGCCAGCCACGAGGGAGCGUCCGCGGCCCGCGCGCCCGCGCGGCGGAGGAGAGGUGUUAAGUGUGAUGCUUCCAUAAUACAUUUGGAUGCUGUCAGCUAAGUUCACUUCUGAACUAAGGGGUUCCUCCAAAUGUUGGCUGAAAUUCAUCCCAAGGCUGGUCUGCAAAGUCUGCAAUUCAUAAUGGAGCUACUGUACUGGCUAUUGGAAGGAGGAGAUUCUGAAGAUAAGGAGGAUGCCACUGGAAAUGUUGAAAUGAAAAAUAUUCAGCCGUUGGUCUUUGAAAUUUCCUGUGAUGUGUUUCAAUCUAGAUGCAAAGAACAUGGAAAAAUCAAAGUGCUCGAGUGGUUUAAAUAUGUUUUGGGUAUUCCUGUUUAUAGACUAUAAUACUUUUCCAAUUAAAAUCCUCAGUUGUCACGCAGAAGAAGGUUAAGCUGUAUUUGAUUGCCAGUUUUACUGAAAAUGCUUAGUAUUUUACAGUAUCACCAAAUAUAUUUUGUUUAGCCAAGGUAUAGGAAAAAUAAAAUAAAUUGUAUAGGUUGACUUUUUUCUAAAAUGUCUUUAUUGGAUUGAAUGAAUGUUUAUACCUGAAAAAAAAAGGUUCAAAAAAAUUCCUUUUUCUAUCAGAGUCAUUCUUUUGACAAUCAGAUAUUAGACUAGGUUUAAAAUAACUUUCUAAUAUGACUCAUAUUUAUGGGAGGAAAAAGACUUGAAAGAUAUUCCUAUGUGUACUUUAAUUUUCUGUAAUAGUCCCUCUGGAAUAGAAUAUCUCUUCCUCAAACAAAUCUAUUGGCUCAUUUCAUAUACAAGAAAAAGUUGCCCUAAAUGGCAGAGUUUCAUCUCUGUAAAGAAGGCUGACAUCCACUUCCUUCACAGAAUCCCUGCAUUUGGGUAAUUGAGUAAUGAUAGAUUACCUUGCCAUUGGGAAAUACCUUGUUGUGGCCUUUGUAGCAGCUAUAGGAAGAUGGAAGAAUUCUUUUGUAUAGACAGGUCUCUAGCCUCUUUGGUGUGGACACUGUGAAGGGGUACAUCUGGUGAGAAGGAGUGCUUAGGGAAGGAACUGGGAAGGUCCACAAAGGCUGAUGAUGACAAAGAAUCCAAGGGCUAUGAUGAAUUCUUAAGCUUAGAUCUCAGAGUCAUAAAGUAAAUUUAUUAGGCUAGAGAGAUUUCCUUUUUUAUUUUUGAUCAAACUUUAUUUUUUCAGAUUGUUAAGUUCACAUGCAGUUGUACAAAAUAAUACAGAGAUCUUUGAACACUACCCAGUUUCUCCUAAUAGUAACUUCUUGCAAUAUACUGUAUAGCACAGCAUCACAACCUGGAUACUGACAUUGAUGCAGUCAAGACAGAGAACAUUUAUAUCAUGAGGAGGAUCCCUCAUUACCGCCCUUUGAUAUCCACCCCUACUUCCAGACCAUCUCACUCCUCCCUUAACCCUGGCAACCACUAGCAUGUUCUCCAUUUCUAUAAAUUUGCCUUUAUAGGAAUGUUAUAUAAUUGCAAUUAAAGUGUGUAACCUUUUGGGGUUUGACUCACCCGGCAUCAUUUUCUGGAGAUUCAGCUUAUAUGUGUCAAUAGUUUGUUCCCUUUUUUUUAGUUCAGUAGUAUUCUGUGGUACGUGUGUACCACAUCACUCAUCAAUUCGGACUUCUGGGUUGUAUCUGGUAUUUGAUUAUUACAAAUAGAAGUACUAUAUAUAUAUUCGUGUAGAGGUUUCUGUGUGAACAUAAACUUUCAUUUUCCUGGGACAGAUGCCCACGAGUGAAAAUUGUGAGUCAUAUGGUAAUUAUGUAGAGUAUUUUUUUUUUGAGACGAUUUGUUUAUGAUUUUAAAACAUAAAAAUAUAAGUUGUAGCCAAAUAUAAGGAAGGAUUUUUCCACAA